UGACGUGCUGGGGUGCCGGCCCGCGCGGCCGAAGGCCGCGCGGGCCGGCAGAUUGGCGUGUUGGGGUCAGGCCACGUUGG
rnacentral:tRNA from 1 species